CCCUUAGAUGUCCGGGGCCGCACGCGCGCUACACUGAAGGAAUCAGCGUGGCUUUCUCCCUGACCCGAAAGGGUUGGGAAACCCGUUGAAUCUCCUUCGUGAUAGGGAUUGGGGCUUGAAAUUGUUCCCCAUGAACGAGGAAUUCCCAGUAAGCGCGAGUCAUAAGCUCGCGUUGAUUACGUCCCUGCCCUUUGUACACACCGCCCGUCGCUACUACCGAUUGAACGGUUUAGUGAGGGCCUCGGAUUGGUCUCGGCCGGCUCUUUACCGGGCGGCGCCGUUGGUCGAGAAGACGCUCGAACUUGAUCGUUUAGAGGAAGUAAAAGUCGUAACA
rnacentral:rRNA from 1 species